CCUACGGGAGGCAGCAGUGGGGAAUAUUGCACAAUGGGGGAAACCCUGAUGCAGCAACGCCGCGUGAGUGAAGAAGUAUUUCGGUAUGUAAAGCUCUAUCAGCAGGGAAGAAGAAAGACGGUACCUGACUAAGAAGCCCCGGCUAACUACGUGCCAGCAGCCGCGGUAAUACGUAGGGGGCAAGCGUUAUCCGGAUUUACUGGGUGUAAAGGGAGCGUAGACGGCUGUGCAAGUCUGAAGUGAAAGCCCGUGGCUCAACCGCGGAACUGCUUUGGAAACUGUAUAGCUGGAGUGCAGGAGAGGUAAGUGGAAUUCCUAGUGUAGCGGUGAAAUGCGUAGAUAUUAGGAGGAACACCAGUGGCGAAGGCGGCUUACUGGACUGUAACUGACGUUGAGGCUCGAAAGCGUGGGGAGCAAACAGGAUUAGAUACCCUUGUAGUC
rnacentral:rRNA from 1 species